rnacentral:lncRNA from 1 species
AAGGGAGGAGUUUUUUUAUAGGGAAAACACUAUUUAUCAUAUGCUUAUUUAUCCAUUCUUGCUGGAGGACAUUUAAGGAGUACACUAGAUUCCUAAACCCAUAAUUUGGGGAGUUUGGCGGCAGUGAGCAGAGGAGGUUGCUCGACAUCUUUCAAAAUCUCAAAUGCCUAUAGUUUAGGAUAUGUUGAAAGGUUCUUAUUUGGUUUUGGUAAUUGAGUGACAACUUAGAUGAACUAAUAGUGUUUAUAUGAGAUACAUAAGAGAUUAGUCCACAGGUGAAUAUGUGAUGAUGGAGGAGCUCAUUGCAUAUAAGACAUGACAUAGAGUCAUGUGACCAAGAUG